CGCGUAGGCGGCUCUGCAAGUCGAAGGUGAAAUCCCUCAGCUCAACUGAGGAACUGCCUCCGAUACUGCAGGGCUUGAGUUCCGGAGAGGGUAGCGGAAUUCCCAGUGUAGCGGUGAAAUGCGUAGAUACUGGGAGGAACACCGGUGGCGGAGGCGGCUACCUGGACGGAUACUGACGCUGAGGCGCGAAAGCGUGGGGAGCAAACAGGAUUAGAUACCCUGGUAGUCC
rnacentral:rRNA from 1 species